UAGUGACGAUAUGAAAAUGACAUUAAAUCUUUAAUGAUAAUUUAUUUUAAGGCCCUUUCACUAAUAUAUCAUAUGUUAAUCUAAUUGCAGUAAUGUGAUUUUUCUUCAUGUAUUCUCAUUAAUUAUGAUUCAGUUUUGAAUUUGGCUGAGCCUUAUCUUUAUAGUCCAAAUAAAAGACUUGGAAAAUGGUUUGGUGUCAACAGAUAACAAGAAUAUCAUUCAACCGAAAAGAUACACUUUUCAUAAUGUGGCAUAUCAAACAGAACUAAAAUUUUAAACAUUUGUUCCUUGUGUUCUUUCAAAAAGAUUAAAACUGGCAGAAAACAAAUACUGAAAGUGACAUGAUACACAAAAUAUGUAUUUCAACAAUUGCUAAACUGAAAGUGUAUUAGGUUUUAAUGGCACACGACUUGACGUCAAGGUGAGUAAUUCUCUCAUAGAUAUGUAUUCGAAAUGCGGUUACUUAUGUGAAGCUCGAGUUCUGUUUGAUAUGAAUGAGGAGAAGGAUGUUGUUUCGCGGAGUUCUUUGAUUGUGGGAUACUCUAAGAAAGGAGAUUUCCGCAGAACGUUUGAGUUGCUAAGGAAUAUGCAGAUUGAAGAGAAGGUACAGGUGGAUGAGGUGACUCUGAUGAAUGUUUUACUGGUUUGUGUGAAGAGAUUCUGUUUUUUGAAAUUGAAGGAGAUUCAUGGUUAUUCUUUAAGGCAUGGAUUCCUUCCGAGUGAUGGAUUGCUUGCCAAUGCUUUGGUUGCUGGAUAUGCUAAGUGUGGUCCACUGGAUUAUGCCGAGAGUGUGUUUGGUGGUAUGGAGUCGAAAACGGUGAGUUCUUGGAGUUUGAUGAUUGGCGGUCAUGCGCAAAAUGGUUUUCCUGGAAAGGCUUUGGAUUUGUACCUUUUGAUGAGAGAUUCUGGCUUGGAUCCCAAUCGGUUUACAAUUAUUAGUCUUCUUUCGGCUCCGAAAUCGCCUGAAAUCCCUGUCAAUUGAUAUAAUCGGUUUACAAUUAUUAGUCUUCUUUUGACAUAUAUAGUUAAUUGAAGUACUUAUGGUAAUGAGGUAUGUAUCGGCAUAAUAUAAUGAUUUUCCCAUGUUUCUUGCAGGAGGGGAAGUAUAGGGAAGCACUGGGUAAAUGGGAAGUUGCUCUUGCAUUGGCUGAGUUUGUCGGAUAAUGCAUAAGGUCUUGUUGAGGUAAUGAGGAAAUUAGUGUCCAUUGCUCCAGUUCACUGUCAGCCUUUUAUCUCACACCUGUCAGAAGCAGUUUGGCAAGACUACACCUAUGGAUAUUGGACCUUCAUCACAAAACAUGAGGGGAAGUAUAGGGAAGCAUUUCUAUUGUUGUUUGCAUUUCAAAUUACAUAUAGAAAGAGAGGCGUUGUGUUGCUAGGAAAAAAUUCGAGGUUACUUGAGAGAAUUGUACCACAUGGAGAUUUGCUUCUUAUUCAAUAAAAGAGUUGGGUAAACUUGGUGAAAGCCACAUUCAAUUGUGUUUUAUCUUUAGAGCCAAAUGUGAGGUGGAGUAUUAUUUCAGUGAAAGCCACAUUCAAUUCUGUUCCUAUCUGUUUGAUGAAUUGCC